rnacentral:rRNA from 1 species
GUGAAAGCCCUGGGCUCAACCUGGGAACUGCAUUGGAUACUGGCAAGCUAGAGUGCGGUAGAGGGUGGUGGAAUUCCCGGUGUAGCAGUGAAAUGCGUAGAGAUCGGGAGGAACAUCUGUGGCGAAGGCGACCGCCUGGACCAGCACUGACACUGAGGCACGAAAGCGUGGGGAGCAAACAGGAUUAGAUACCCUGGUAGUCCACGCCCUAAACGAUGCGAACUGGAUGUUGGGUUCAACUAGGAACUCAGUAUCGAAGCUAACGCGUUAAGUUCGCCGCCUGGGGAGUACGGUCGCAAGACUGAAACUCAAAGGAAUUGACGGGGGCCCGCACAAGCGGUGGAGUACGUGGUUUAAUUCGAUGCAACGCGCAGAACCUUACCUGGNCCUUGACAUCCACGGAACUUUCCAGAGAUGGAUUGGUGCCUUCGGGAACCGUGAGACAGGUGCUGCAUGGCUGUCGUCAGCUCNUGUCGUGAGAUGUUGGGUUAAGUCCCGCAACGA